UUCCUCAUUAUUGUUCACUUAAUGGUUUCUGUUACAUACCAAAAUUCUUAGUAUAUAAGUAGUAAUGGGCUAUGCAACGAUAUAGCAUGUAACAUACUCAAUCUUUUUCUAGUUGUUUGACCUGUCAGCGAAGCGAAGAUUGUAGUUUCACUGGUUUCCACAACUUCUCUGCAUGCUUUGUUGUUUCUUUCUUAUUCUUCUUCUUCUCUCUCUUUUUGGUUUAUGCUCAUCAAAUUUUUGAUCAUUUUGUGUCCAUUUUUUGGGUGAAAUUUGUAUAUAUUCCACACGAUUUUGAAUCAUUUAGUUUUAUUAUUCUUUGAAAUUGUGACUUUAACUUUGUUAUUUUCUUCCUAUCAUUUCUAUUUGUUAAUUCAUAAAAUUGGAUAUCUUUGUGAUUAUUUUUUCUUGAAAUUUUAGAUUAUUUUUAAAUCCUGUCUCAAAUACCCUCUCUGCCAGUGAGCUCUAGAUCACAUGGUACUUCCUUCUGCCAUAAGAAUGACUGAAGGGAAAGGUCAUAGGUUCAAAACCCAAUGGAGUGCUUUUGUAACUUACAAAUAAAUAAAAAAUAUAACCUUUCUCUCCUUUUCUUGUUGUGUUUGUCUGUAUACAUGUGUGCCUUCAUGCGUGUAGGCAAUCAUGAGAAUUCUGCCAACCCGAAAAAAGAGGUGCAGGGGUGGGGGGUGGGGGGAGGGGAGGUGUUUACUGAAUGUUCCUCAGUGACCCCAAUAUGGUUCAAAACGUCCAAAUUGGAUUUUCAAAUAGAUGGUCAAUAAUGAGGGUAGACAUUGGAAUCCUCAAUUCCUUCAGCCUUUCCAGGAUUUGAGAUUCUUUAACUUAACCUGCCUUCCUUUUCUGGAGAAAUUAUUGGUUCCUCCGGGAGGACCACUGAUGUGGUCCUCCCUGCUCCUACCAACCAAUAGGAAAGAAACACGUGUCCUUUUUGGGUGAUUCAGCUCCACAUUAGCUCCAAACCAAUGGCUUAAAUCUCAUCCGUUUAUUCAAUCCAAUGGCUCUUAAAUUUGACACAUCAUCAAAUUAUAAAAAGACAAUUUCACCCCCUAAAAUAUUUCAAACCCUGCGUCUGCUUUUAUCUCCUCCUCUGGAACAAAAAUCAAAAUUCUUUCUCUCUCGCUCUCACAGAUUGAAGCUUUCUCUCUUCACGGCACAGCCACUGGCCCAGAUCUCCGGUUCCGACGAUGCUGGCCUUUUUCUCAUCGGAAAAUCCCUAAAAUCCCUGCUGGUACAGUCACCAAAUUUCAAAAUUUUUCUCUCUUCCACCAAACCUUGCUGUACGUGGGACAUCAGCGUCGAUUCUCCAUGACCAUGGCUACAACUGGAAGCCUCCAAGGCUCACACGACCACCACCGGCGAUGCUUGCUGGCCUGACCUUCUCCUCUCUUUAGGUCUCUGUUUUUUCGCUCUCUGAAGUCCAGCCGUGGCCAAGCUUCUGCUUGCACCGCGACACCACCAUUUCUGUCAAGAAGCUGGAGGCGCACCAACCAUAACUUAAUGAGUUGGUCAUGCCAUUUAAGUUUGUAGAAGAACUUGAUCUUGAAGCUUACAAGACCUUCUUCUUAUUUUUUUCUUUUGUGGGAAUUAUGUAUCAUGAAUAUAUGAUGAUGGGAAGAUUUGUUUCUUGUUAACGAAGUGUAUAUUUCAGCAAAACUAUUGUUAUAUGGCCUUGUGGUCGAAGUGUACAAAUAAAAUUUUGUUCAUUUUUAGAACAACUUCAUUUCUUGUCUACUCUCUUGAAUUAAAUUUUGAUUGUAAAAUUGGCCAAGCAUCCUUUGAAGACUCUUGAUAUGUAUUCCUUGUUUUUGAAAGAAUAAGAGUCAUGUAAAAACUUUGAUAUAAUUUUUGGUUU